rnacentral:misc_RNA from 1 species
CUCAUUUAAUAUGUCUGAAAAUUCUUAUAAGAUUUAGAAAUUAUUAACGAGUACGUAAAAUUAUUUUUUAGUAUUCUCUCGUCGGUGACACUAACAAUUGUGUUGUUAGAAUCGGUCAAUCAACAAAACGUUGACAGCUAUGUUUGUUGACAAAAACAUUCAAAGAUGCAUUGCGAGUAAAUAUGACAAUUACAUGAUAAUACAUCGCUCCGUCGAUAGAGCGCAAUACCAUUCCUCGGUAAUACAUCUCGACAGGUUUCUAUUUUUUCUUCGGACAAUACAUGAUCAUGGUUCAAAUCUCUCUCUCUUUCUUUCACGUUGCUAGGGGGCAGUAAAGGAUCAUGACGCUCGAGAGAAGAUGGCAAGCAGGAACGAGAGAGUCGCGUGCUAAACGAUAGGACGCGCAGCAAUAAAUUACGUUCGCAGGCGGUGUGCAGCAAGUUUCCCGGCACAGUGUACGAACGCGCGUGUGUACGCGCGGAUUCGCGAUUUCGUUCGUGUGCAUGUCGCCGGUCGUCUUUUUCGUCGGCUUACGGAUCGGUGUACGCGCCGCGCCGGUUGACAAUGUGAACGUAUACACACGCGCGACGUAAAACAGCGCGAAGAGUCCACGAGCGGGGGAGAGAGGGUUGGGGGGUGGGGGGAAAGGGUGCUCCAGCUCGGCGAACGGAACAGCCGUCGUAGCGACAACGGAGGUACUCUGUUUUUCCCUCUUCUUCGGUUAAGACGAGACUGGCUGAUGUCAAACAUGCGGCGACGAAUUUUUCUCGCGAGCAACUCGACAACGACGAGAAAGUCGAAGAAGACAAUAAAUCGACGACGGCGCGCCACGGCCGUGCUCCUCUGCCAGUGAGACAACAUAUACAUAUAUACAUACACACGCGCACCGGUGCGCGGUUGCUGAUGAGCGCGGAUAUAUGGCGGCGCGAGUACUCUUACUGAGCGUCUUGAUUACGGAAGUGCUGAAGCCCGCUUGUGCCGCAGGUAUCAAAGGUAUCGGAGGAAAUAUCAGUGGUAGGAACAUAUCUAAAGGAGAUGGUUCUGACACUGGUCUAAUUAAAGCAUCUGGGUUAACAUUGGAAAUUCAACCUAGCGGCCAUGUGAUACUAGGAAAAAAAGGGAUCACGCUCAGUUGCAUAGCUGGUUCAAACGAGAAUGUAUCUUGGUUGCGCAAUGGAAUGCCAGCACCUCCGUGUAAUCUUACUCGGUGUGUUCUUCUUCACAAUGGCUCUCUUCACUUUUACAAGAAACAAAAUUUACAAAUUCAAAAGUUCAAAGAAAAGGAAAGGAAUAGUAUUAUUUAUCCUAAAAACUAUAAAGAUGAAUAUCGCUGUGUAACACGUACUAGUUUUGGAGGAUUGAUACGAUCAGCUCCUACAUAUAUUCAAAUAGCAGAACUUGCCCAUGUAUUUAGAGAAACUCCAGAAAAUAUUACUGUUCAAGAAGGUGAAGUUGCAAGAUUGUCUUGUUUGAUAGAUAGUGUUCCUUUCCCACCUAAUAUUACAUGGCAGCAUAAUGAAACAUUGUUAUCUUAUAAUGAAUCAAAGUAUUCUGUGGUACCACCAGGUGUUCUGUAUAUAAGUGCAACGAAACUGUCAGAUGCUGGCUCAUAUAGAUGCAUAGUCACUAAUGAAUUUCUAAAGAAGACCAAAAAGAGCAGAGAAGCAAAAUUAACAGUUAUUUCGAGAGCAGAGGUUAACAAAUCACAUACGCCAUCGUCUUUGUUUCCACAAACUUCAUAUAAUCAUUGGUUGCUUAACGGGUCAAAUCUUAAUUUGGCGUGUGCUGCAUCUGGUUAUCCAUCGCCAGUCAUAACAUGGUCAUUUAUUCCUCGUUACAAAGAUAAUGUUACGCAACCUCGCAUUCUUUUUAAUUCUACCACUGGCAUUGGUAUACUGUCAUUAACAAACGUAAACAUUUCUAAUGCUGGUGUUUACAUGUGUUCUUCGAAGAAUUCUAUCACCAAUGACUUAGAGGUACAGAAUAUUACUGUAGACAUACUGAUACCGCCGUCAUUUAUAAAAACGCCGACAAACCAAAUCUGUCCAAACGGAAGAACCGCAAGAUUCGAAUGUCAGGCGCAAGGAUUCCCCGUACCUCAAAUUUAUUGGCUAAAAGACUCGUCAAAUAUUACUAUCAUUGGUCGCAAAACAACUUACAUUAAGGAAUACAAUAAAAUAGAAUUAGCAAUAUCAGCAACAGUACCGUCUGACUCUGGCAUAUACCAAUGUGUAGCGGUAAAUUCAGCGGGUGAAAUUUGGGCCGCUGGUCGGCUCCAAGUAAACACAUCGCGCAAUAGCCCCGAUGCGCCCACUUCUUUAAAAUGUCACGCUGUUUCACCAGUUAGAAUUUUAAUUUCGUGGGAACCACCAAAGUCUCUACCAUAUACCAGUAUUACAGCUUAUACCGUCCAUUAUAGUCCUGUAGAAGGUGGCAAGGAGGAAGUUUCCCCGCCGGAACCAGGAAAUUCUACGUCUGUAGAAGUAACAAAACUUCUUGAACCGUUUACAAAUUACUCGUUUUACGUACGAGUGUGGAAUAAUUCUGGUGCUCAGGAUCAGUCGACUACCAUUCUGUGUUCCACAGCUCCAAGUGUUCCUAAAGGCGCACCAAAAAUGAAUGUGGAUAUAAUCAGUAGUACAAAAUUAAAUGUAUCAUGGGAGCCUUUGAGUAGAAAGGAAUCUCGUGGCAUUGUCGUGGAAUAUAAGUUACAAUGGAGACUUCAUCAACAUCCAUAUUCUAGAGUACUUUAUAUACCUGCCACUAUUGAAUACCACGUACUUGCAGAUCUGAUACCUGGAGCACAAUAUGAUCUUCGAGUAAUGGCAAGAACGAAACAGGGCUGGCCAAAUAUUAGCGAAACACAAUUAGAUUGGAUUACUGUAACUAUGCCAUCUUCUGAACCCAAUCAUUUUAUAAGAAAUGUGGAUAUUCAAGUAUUAAUUGUAAAUGCUUCGAUAAUUAAGAUGAAAUGGAAGAUCAACUUCAAACAAAACGAUCAAAUCGAAUCAAAAUUUGAUUCUUGGCAAAUUUAUUGUGAAAAUCAAGAUGGCGAAAAAUUAAAAAGUAUUCUUUUACCACAAAAUAUUACUGAAUAUUUGUUUACUAAUCUUGAUGUAAAUGUUUCUUAUACCAUGGGUUUGUGCAUGGUAAACUCAGGUGAAGCAACAGGUUGCUUGACAAAACACAUAGAGACUGCACAGUUCGAUCUUGACACUGUACCAAUGGCUUUGGAGGCUAUUCCUAUCUCACCAACGUCCAUUAAUGUAACAUGGACGUUAUCCGAUGCGCAAGGUGCAAAUUCAUUUGAACUUUGUUAUCAUGCGGUGAAUGCGCAAAAUUCUAACGGUUUAAAGUGUUUUAUCAUAGACGAUACAAAAAUGAACGUUGACAAAUUGAAGCCUUUCACUUUAUAUCAGUUUAAAGUAAGAGCCAUUAAGCAUGAUACAAAUCAAACCAGUCUGUAUAGCGACUCUAUAGAAUGUUACACAAAUGAAGAUGUUCCUGGUAAAGUCGAAGAGGUACAAUGGUUCCUGGGUAACAAUACGAAAGUACGAAUUGCGUGGAAGGAACCGAGCAAUAUAAAUGGUAUCAUACGAAAUUAUUUCGUCGUGUACACCAUGGAUCUGGCGGAGUCGACGAACACGUGGGGCAACGUGACCGUGCCCGGUAAUAAAACGACGACGAGUAUACCGGGGCUAGCGCCAGGGAAACGAUACUUUGUUAUGGUGCAAGCAGCGACGAAAGCCGGUUAUGGAAAACCGUCGGAUCCUAUUAUUAUUAUUACCGGUGGCAGUAGUAAUAAUACGUUGACAAUACCAACAUCGUCCGGUAAGCAGAAGCCACCGCGACCUGCUAAACCCGAUCAGAGUCUAGGUGUGGUUCUCGGAGUGAGCAUAAGUAUCGUGUUUAUCACGAUAUGUCUAUGCAGCAUAUAUUGCCGGAGGAAGUUUGAGAAUUCUCGUUCGUCGAGAAACGAUACUCAGCCUACGAAGGGGCGUAUACUGUCGCGAAACGGAAAUGGAUGUUGCACGGAGCAGUCGUCCACGUCUAUGAGUCAGCAAGCGAACACUACCGGCGCCCCGAAUGAGAUUGAACUGGCUGUGCUGUGCCCGUCGUCCCCGAUUGAAACAAAUCCGCAUUCCGACGCAAAGGGUACACAGUCUAAUGGGGUCUUUGAAAUCUGUGCGAAAGAACCCUUGUUAUCGCCAUGGGAGAUAAAUGGAGGUUCGAAAGACGUUCAUAUUAUGGAAAACCCUCAGUAUAAAAGAAGAGGCAGUUCUGCCUCGAAUAAUCUACAGGAGGAAGAGCAAGAUUUAGAAGGCACGCAGCUCACAAUAGUCAAUUGUACUUUAGGCAGUAGCACUAGCAGUUUAAAUAACAAUUCAGGAUGCCCGGAUGGAGAAACUUCAUCAUCGCCAAAGGCCACGUGCGUAUCUGUUCCGGCGCUCGGACCAAAUGGUUGAAAGUGCGUUAGGCAGUACGCAGAAGUGUUCAAUAGUUCUCAUCGAUAUCGAGGUGCAAACAGGGUGCAGUUACUUUGUAUAUACCUUUAUCUACAAUUGUAUAUAUAUAUUAUAUUACCUGCGAAGAACAUUAAGAUAUAUAUUUUAAUAUAUUACAUAUAAUGAA